rnacentral:rRNA from 1 species
UACGUAGGGUCCGAGCGUUGUCCGGAAUUACUGGGCGUAAAGAGCUCGUAGGUGGCUUGUCGCGUUGUUCGUGAAAACUCACAGCUCAACUGUGGGCGUGCGGGCGAUACGGGCAGACUAGAGUACUGCAGGGGAGACUGGAAUUCCUGGUGUAGCGGUGGAAUGCGCAGAUAUCAGGAGGAACACCAAUAGCGAAGGCAGCUCGCUGGGACGUUACUGACACUGAGGCGCGAAAGCGUGGGGAGCAAGAAGG